rnacentral:hammerhead_ribozyme from 1 species
AUCCAACUAACAAGUCUCAAAUAGGACGAAACGCGCUUCCUGGAU